rnacentral:rRNA from 1 species
UCCUCCCACCCUUUGUGUACCUACCUCUGUUGCUUUGGCGGGCCGCGGUCCUCCGCGGCCGGCCCCCCUCCCCGGGGGGUGGCCAGCGCCCGCCAGAGGACCAUCAAACUCCAGUCAGUAAACGAUGCAGUCUGAAAAACAUUUAAUAAACUAAAACUUUCAACAACGGAUCUCUUGGUUCUGGCAUCGAUGAAGAACGCAGCGAAAUGCGAUAAGUAAUGUGAAUUGCAGAAUUCAGUGAAUCAUCGAAUCUUUGAACGCACAUUGCGCCCUUUGGUAUUCCGAAGGGCAUGCCUGUUCGAGCGUCAUUACAACCCUCAAGCUCUGCUUGGUAUUGGGCACCGUCCUUUGCGGGCGCGCCUCAAAGACCUCGGCGGUGGCGUCUUGCCUCAAGCGUAGUAGAACAUACAUCUCGCUUCGGAGCGCAGGGCGUCGCCCGCCGGACGAACCUUCUGAACUUUUCUCAAGGUUGACCUCGGAUCAGGUAGGGAUACCCGCUGAACUUAAGCAUAUCAAUAAGCGGAGGAA